AUUGAACGCUAGCGGGAUGAUUUACACAUGCAAGUCGAACGAGUGGCGGCCGGGUGAGUAAUAUCUCGGAAAGUGCCCAGUAGCGGGGGAUAACUACUCGACCGAGUGGCUGAUACCGCAUACUAUUGGAGCGGCCGAUAGCGGAUUAGCUAGCUGGUGGGGUAAAGGCUCACCAAGGCCACGAUCCGUAGCUGGUUUGAGAGGACGACCAGCCACACUUGGACUGAGACACGGCCCAGACUCCUACGGGAGGCAGCAGUGGGGAAUUUUGGACAAUGGGGGAAACCCUGAUCCAGCCAUCCCGCGUGUAUGAGAAGGCCUGCGGGUUGUAAAGUACUUUUGGCAGAGAAGCGGUAUCUGCAGAAUAAGCACCGGCUAACUACGUGCCAGCCGCCGCGGUAAUAC
rnacentral:rRNA from 1 species